rnacentral:rRNA from 1 species
UACAGAGGGUGCAAGCGUUGUUCGGAAUUAUUGGGCGUAAAGGGCGCGUAGGCGGUUCGGCAAGUCUCUAGUGAAAUCUCUGGGCUCAACCCAGAGCCUGCUGGGGAAACUGCCGGGCUGGAGUAUGGGAGAGGUGAGUGGAAUUCCUGGUGUAGCGGUGAAAUGCGUAGAUAUCAGGAGGAACACCUGUGGCGAAAGCGGCUCACUGGACCAUCACUGACGCUGAGGCGCGAAAGCUAGGGGAGCAAACAGG